rnacentral:misc_RNA from 1 species
GUAAGAGUUCAUUCUUUUGACUCUGCAUUGAGAUUCCAAGAAAGAAUCCGGAAAGGAUUGCCUCCUUCAUUGUAUUUGUCGACUCUCAAAUCAUUCCAUGCAUCUGGGUAUUACAGGAGUAUGGUGAGAGAUCCUAUUUCAAAUGCAACGAGGACUCACUCCCAAAUAUUGCCAUUGGAGGCACAGAUAUUGAAUUUAUUGCCCAGUUCUGCACCCAC